rnacentral:rRNA from 1 species
AUUGAACGCUGGCGGCAGGCCUAACACAUGCAAGUCGAGCGGGGUUUUCGGACCUAGCGGCGGACGGGUGAGUAAUGCGUAGGAAGCUACCCGAUAGAGGGGGAUACCAGUUGGAAACGACUGUUAAUACCGCAUAAUGUCUACGGACCAAAGUGUGGGACCUUCGGGCCACAUGCUAUCGGAUGCGCCUACGUGGGAUUAGCUAGUUGGUGAGGUAAUGGCUCACCAAGGCGACGAUCCCUAGCUGGGUUGAGAGGAUGAUCAGCCACACUGGAACUGAGACACGGUCCAGACUCCUACGGGAGGCAGCAGUGGGGAAUAUUGGACAAUGGGCGCAAGCCUGAUCCAGCCAUGCCGCGUGUGUGAAGAAGGCCUUCGGGUUGUAAAGCACUUUCAGUAAGGAGGAAGCGUUGAGUGUUAAUAGUACUCAGCGUUGACGUUACUUACAGAAGGAGCACCGGCUAACUCUGUGCCAGCCGCCGCUGUAAGAC